rnacentral:rRNA from 1 species
UACGAAGGGUGCAAGCGUUACUCGGAAUUACUGGGCGUAAAGCGUGCGUAGGUGGUGAGUUAAGUCUGUCGUGAAAGCCCUGGGCUCAACCUGGGAAUGGCACUCGAUACUGGCCAGCUGGAGUAAGGUAGAGGAUGGUGGAAUUCCCGGUGUAGCGGUGAAAUGCGUAGAGAUCGGGAGGAACAUCUGUGGCGAAGGCGGCCAUCUGGACCAUUACUGACGCUGAGGCACGAAAGCGUGGGGAGCAAACAGG